GAUGAAGAACGCAGCGAAAUGCGAUAAGUAAUGUGAAUUGCAGAAUUCAGUGAAUCAUCGAAUCUUUGAACGCACAUUGCGCCCGCCAGUAUUCUGGCGGGCACGCCUGUCUGAGCGUCAUUUCAACCCUCAUGCCCCUAGGGCGUGGUGUUGGGGAUCGGCCAAAGCCCGCGAGGGACGGCCGGCCCCUAAAUCUAGUGGCGGACCCGUCGUGGCCUCCUCUGCGAAGUAGUGAUAUUCCGCAUCGGAGAGCGAUGAGCCCCUGCCGUUAAACCCCCAACUUUCCAAGGUUGACCUCAGAUCAGGUAGGAAUACCCGCUGAACUUAAGCAUAUCAAUAAGCGGAGGA
rnacentral:misc_RNA from 1 species